UCAAGAAAAUCUCUCAAGGGGUCGCUACUACUCUAAUGGCGAUUUCUCAGACUCCUCGCCUGUCAAUUGUCAUAGCCUUACAAAACACUUGUAUUCGUACAAUGUAUCAAUUGUCAUAGCCUUACAAAACACUUGUAUUCGUACAAUGUAUUUCAAGAAUACUAGAAACCCAUUCAAGAAACCGACAAGAAGUCGAAAAAUCUGCCGAAUGCUAGAAACUCAUUCAAGAGAAGUGGAAAAAUCUGCCGAAACAAGUCUUUUGGAAUUUGUUUGGGAAGGCAAUCCGUUCCCGCAUGAUAAAGACGUUGAAUCGGACGAUGAUGCGGCGCUGGUGAAUGACGAUUCUUUCGAAAGGAUUGAUGUGUCGUUGGGUCAGAAGGAAGAGGAGAGUGGUGGGAGAAUGACGAAAGUUGAUGAUGAUCAAGAAACGGGUUUCAGAUGGUUUAUGAGAAGAAGAAUAAGAAACUGUUGGGGGGUUGGGUUGAAGAAUUGAAUCGGUGUUUGCAGAGGAGUGAAGGAUGCGUUGGCGUUCAUACAUCCUCUGGAGAAGCUCGCGGGUCUUGACUUUGUUGAUAAACCUGAUACCAAUGAGGAGCCUGGAUAACCUCUUCCCAUCGAGGUUAAGACCAUUCAAAGACAUGAAUGAGUUGAACCAGGCAUGCUUUCUCUUGAAAUUACCAUCUCAUACUUCACUAAGCUGAGGGGAAUAAGGAUUUCUCCUAGUCCGAAGAGGUGAUGGAGAUACAACAGACUGUAAGCCAUGUUGCUAUUUGAGGUUGUCAGAAGCGCUACCACCUUUUCUCCCCCUGACGUCAAAACUUAAUAAAGCUUAGCUCACCCUUUUAAUUUCAGUUACUUACACUCCAAUUUAAUUACUCUUAAAUGCAAAGUCAGGACUUUUGAUCAGUUUCACUUGAGAGAAAAAAGGAUAAAGCCAGCACUUCAAAUUUGGGCUUCCAUCGCCCCAAUUCUAAGUGUCACUUCAUUUCGGUUCAAGAAGCCCAGCCCAGCUUUUCUAGUUUCUCCACUAGAUAGUAUGUAACUAAGGCUUCUUUUAUAUUGGAUGAUAGGAUCAAUGUGGGAUGUAUUAACUUGUGAUUUAAAUUAUGGUAAUGACAUGAUCCAGUGGAUUAUUGUUUACCUAAUACUAUUAAAAAUCGGAUUACGAGAGUAUAAGUCCAAGGUCAUGUUUAGUAUGAAAUAUAUUGUAAUUGAUUAGGUUAGUGAAUGACUUUGUUGCCCUCAUGAAAAGACAAAGCUAUCACAUCAUUUCA